rnacentral:rRNA from 1 species
AUUGAACGCUGGCGGCAUGCCUUACACAUGCAAGUCGAACGGCAGCACGGGUGCUUGCACCUGGUGGCGAGUGGCGAACGGGUGAGUAAUACAUCGGAACAUGUCCUGUAGUGGGGGAUAGCCCGGCGAAAGCCGGAUUAAUACCGCAUACGAUCUACGGAUGAAAGCGGGGGACCUUAGGGCCUCGCGCUAUAGGGUUGGCAGAUGGCUGAUUAGCUAGUUGGUGGGGUAAAGGCCUACCAAGGCGACGAUCAGUAGCUGGUCUGAGAGGACGACCAGCCACACUGGGACUGAGACACGGCCCAGACUCCUACGGGAGGCAGCAGUGGGGAAUUUUGGACAAUGGGCGAAAGCCUGAUCCAGCAAUGCCGCGUGUGUGAAGAAGGCCUUCGGGUUGUAAAGCACUUUUGUCCGGAAAGAAAUCCUUGGCCCUAAUACGGUCGGGGGAUGACGGUACCGGAAGAAUAAGCACCGGCUAACUACGUG